CAUUCUUAGUUCAACUUUACUACUUGCUUGGGGUCAAUAAGGUGUAUGCAGAUCCCAAGUAAUUCCCCAAAUCCAGCUAACCUCUUUAACUACUGUUGCAAUGAAGUGUGGUUCCCUAUCUGAUGACAUCCCCAAGGGAAUCCCAAAUUUUGGAAUUAUGU